rnacentral:lncRNA from 1 species
UUGAAAAAAAAUCAAAGGGGAAGUGUUUGAGGAAGUGGACAGAUUUGGUUUGUUUACGGCGUAGACGAUUCGAACGUCCCCAAGUUGUGAUUGAACUGUUUCGUGGUAAACACCAAGGUUUGUGUAUAAACUUGUACUCUUUUGGCUUGCUUGAAUAUGUUGAAAUAACUUGAUAUUUUAUUUUUCUUGGCUUCAAUUUAUAUUGUUAUAUUCGUACUAUAUCAAGUAUUGUAAGAUAUUUGUUAAAUCGCCCAUUCGUACGGAUUGUUUGAUCAUUUUGCAUUCUUGUUAGGACUUUGUCCUUCUUGUGGCAGUGACUUUGUCACUCAUCUUGGCAUGCCUCUUGAUUCAGAUCUUUUGCCAUCUUGACUUUGGAUUUGUAGUUCGUCUUGAAUUAUGGAACUUGUCCGUGUUAAGUACGAACUAGGAAGCCAUUUUAAUAUGGUUCUUGAUUUUCUUGUCUAUUGGGUUUUGACCCUACUUGAUUUGGGGCUUCGGUCCAUCUUGAUAUCUGAUUAUGCUUAGUGUGAUGACAUGACGUACAUAUUAGGCGAAAAAUGGAUAUUUGGUAUACUCUCUUAAACUGAUAGUAUACACUUUCUAGACUCUUGAACAUUGUUAUUGAUAUUUGGAAACACUUCAAAGUUUGAUAUUGAUAUGUUUGAUAUAUUUGUUUACUUGUUUUAAAUUAUGUUAAAUUGAGCUAACUAUGACUGAAAAGGGGAAUUGGAGAAUCUAAUGACUCCAAGCCUAAAGUUUAUACACCACUAAGCUUUAUGCUUAGCGAUAGUUGUUUUCUAUCGUAGGAAAUGUUCGGGAUGAAAUCUGAAGAUGGUCAGGGUGAAGUAGUCUUUUUGGGAGAAUUUAUUGAGAUCACAUUUGCAUAUGCACCUUGGUUUGCAUAGUUUUGGGACAUGUACAUGAUAUACAUGAUAUAUAUAUAUAUAUAUAUAUAUAUCUGUGUGUGUGUGUGUGUGUCAC